AUUGAACGCUGGCGGAAUGCUUUACACAUGCAAGUCGAGCGGCAGCGCGGGGGCAACCCUGGCGGCGAGCGGCGAACGGGUGAGUAAUAUAUCGGAACGUACCCCGUCGUGGGGGAUAACACAGCGAAAGCUGUGCUAAUACCGCAUACGACCUGAGGGUGAAAGCGGGGGAUCGCAAGACCUCGCGCGAUGGGAGCGGCCGAUAUCGGAUUAGCUUGUUGGUGAGGUAAAGGCUCACCAAGGCGACGAUCCGUAGCUGGUCUGAGAGGACGACCAGCCACACUGGAACUGAGACACGGUCCAGACUCCUACGGGAGGCAGCAGUGGGGAAUUUUGGACAAUGGGGGCAACCCUGAUCCAGCCAUUCCGCGUGAGUGAAGAAGGCCUUCGGGUUGUAAAGCUCUUUCAGCAGGAACAAAACGGUGGCCACUAAUACUGGCUACUAAUGACGGUACCUGAAGAAGAAGCACCGGCUAACUACGUG
rnacentral:rRNA from 1 species